UGGCAUAAAGAAGUCUCAUUCUCAAAAUUUCAAUUGCUUCACCACUUAACAUUCUAUACAAAUUUCUGUAGUUUUGGAUGAUAGUAAUCUGCCUACACAUGAUUAGAACUAGUUUGUAAGUCAUCCUCAUCACCAAAUCAAUCACAAAUACAUGUGCCGGCAAUUCCCCUAGAAUUUGGUAUCCAGAAGUCUGCAAUAACACAGAUUCUACCUCUGAAUCACAAUAUAAUCCCAUCUAUAUAGAGUCAUUUAAAAAAAAAAAAGCCCAACCUUGAAAGGGAUGUUCCAAUACAUAACGUGGUAGCGUUAGUUGCAUACAGAAAUGGUCUUAAAAGUUAGUGAGAAUUCACAACAGUUGGGUAGACCAAAAUAAAUAGAUCCUGGAAGUAUGUUAGAGAGUGAAUUAACUGAACUCAAGAUUGCAUAGCCACGCUGUGCACUCGAUUAGUGGUAAGGUAGAGUGCAGGCAACCACAAAGAUAACACUCAUGUCAGCUAAUUGUUGAAGUGAGUUGAGGUUGCGAAGACUGGAAAGAUACUUUUGGUAAAUAUUUUACAACUUCAAAUGCCUUAAUGUGUUUAUAUUCCAGUGGUUGCAUCAUGAGCAAUCUUCAGAUAUCGGCAGUGA
rnacentral:lncRNA from 1 species